rnacentral:tRNA from 1 species
AUUCUUUUAGUAUUAAAUAGUACAAUUGACUUCCAAUCAAUUAGUUCUGGUGUACCCCGGAAAAGAAUA